GUGUCAGCAGCCGCGGUAAUACGAAGGGGGCUAGCGUUGCUCGGAAUCACUGGGCGUAAAGGGCGCGUAGGCGGCCAUUCAAGUCGGAGGUGAAAGCCCAGGGCUCAACCCUGGAAUUGCCUUCGAUACUGUUUGGCUAGAGACCGGAAGAGGUAAGUGGAACUGCGAGUGUAGAGGUGAAAUUCGUAGAUAUUCGCAAGAACACCAGUGGCGAAGGCGGCUUACUGGUCCGGUUCUGACGCUGAGGCGCGAAAGCGUGGGGAGCAAACAGGAUUAGAAACCCCCGUAGUCC
rnacentral:rRNA from 1 species